AGAAGCAGCAUGGAGGCAAAACGACUCCAGGGGCGCGGAUGAGGAAGGAUCUCAUAUGAACACGGAGAAAAUGGCUUUGGGGUGGAGUUGUGGCCGCAUCAUAGAAGGAUUGUUGGCCUACUUGGAGUGCAUAUCAUGGAAGGAGUGGCCAAAACAUUGUUUGCACAGCGCUGAAGCUUCUAUUGGGCCCCAGAUGGAAAGAUCUGUUGGCUUGGACCUUGGCCUGUGAAAGAUGUGUGCAACGGAAAGCACGUUCUGAAGGUUCUUUCCCUCUUUCUAUCCCUCUCUCUCCCCCUCCCUCUCUCCCUCUCUCGCUCU